rnacentral:lncRNA from 1 species
UAAUGCUAUUAUACUAUCUAUAGUACUAGAGCUCCGAUAUUAUAAUCUUAUUUUCGAUCUCAGGGUGUUCAAAUUAACGAUCUACACUGUUAAAUAUAAUCUAGAAUCUAUGAAGUUCUUAGAAAUAAAAUUUUAAUUUUUUCCAACAUUGUUUACUUAGUAAGUAAAUCAUAUUAAAAUGAAUAUGAAAAUUGAACAAUUUUAAAAAUUUGUGGGUAAAACUUUUGAAUUCAAGAUCAAGAAUGCUGACCUUGAUUUAAUGAAUUUAAAAUAUUUUCUAUCAAAAUUUGAAUAAAUUUAAAUUCUUUUACACCGUUAAACUAUAAACUCACUGUAAUAGCUAUUGAAAAUUGACAAGUUUGAAAUGGGUUAUUAUGAAGUAAACUAUGUCGAAAAAAUAUAAAAUUUUAUUUCUAAAAACUUUAAAAACCCUAUAUUAGUAUUAACGGUGUUGAUCGUUGAUUUGAACAUCUUAAGAUCGAAAAUGAGACUAUAGUACCAGAGCCCCAAUACUAGAGAUAUUAUAGGAGCUUGGUUCUCUCUAUAUAUAUAUAUUAAAAAUAUUGUAAAUAUAAUGUAUUUUAAUUAUUUGUAAACUGAGUUUAGUUUAUUUGGCCAUUGUUGUUGGCCCAAAAAACAAACCCAACAAAAGUGCAAAAUCUUAUCCUAAAUUUACACACUCUCUCUCCCUCUCUUUCACAAAAUAACAAUUUCACUUGCCCUAAAACUCUAAAUCCUUAAUCUCUCUCUCUCUCUCUCUCUCUCUCUCUCUCUCGCAAAUCCCAAGCAAUAGCACACAGUCACCGCAUUCACCGCCGACCUCGUUGGCCGCCGUCACUGCAGCC